GGUGCCCUACGGGGCGCAGCAGUAGGGAAUCUUCGGCAAUGGGGGCAACCCUGACCGAGCAACGCCGCGUGAGUGAAGAAGGUUUUCGGAUCGUAAAGCUCUGUUGUAAGAGAAGAACGUGUGUGAGAGUGGAAAGUUCACACAGUGACGGUAACUUACCAGAAAGGGACGGCUAACUACGUGCCAGCAGCCGCGGUAAUACGUAGGUCCCGAGCGUUAUCCGGAUUUAUUGGGCGUAAAGCGAGCGCAGGCGGUUGGAUAAGUCUGAAGUUAAAGGCUGUGGCGCAAACACAG
rnacentral:rRNA from 1 species